rnacentral:rRNA from 1 species
GACUCGGUGAAAUUAUAGUACCUGUGAAGAUGCAGGUUACCCGCGACAGGACGGAAAGACCCCGUGGAGCUUUACUGCAACCUGAUAUGGAAUGUUUGUACCGCUUGUACAGGAUAGGUAGGAGCCGAAGAGACGUGUGCGCUAGCAUACGAGGAGGCAAUGGUGGGAUACUACCCUGGCUGUAUGACCAUUCUAACCCGCCACGCUUAGCGCGUGGGGAGACAGUGUCAGGUGGGCAGUUUGACUGGGGCGGUCGCCUCCUAAAAUGUAACGGAGGCGCCCAAAGGUUCCCUCAGAAUGGUUGGAAAUCAUUCGCAGAGUGUAAAGGCACAAGGGAGCUUGA